AGAGUUUGAUUUUGGCUCAGGACGAACGCUGGCGGCGCGCCUAACACAUGCAAGUCGAACGAGAGAUGAGGAGCUUGCUCUUCAAAUCGAGUGGCGAACGGGUGAGUAACGCGUGAGGAACCUGCCUCAAAGAGGGGGACAACAGUUGGAAACGACUGCUAAUACCGCAUAAGCCCACGGCUCGGCAUCGAGCAGAGGGAAAAGGAGCAAUCCGCUUUGAGAUGGCCUCGCGUCCGAUUAGCUAGUUGGUGAGGUAAUGGCCCACCAAGGCGACGAUCGGUAGCCGGACUGAGAGGUUGAACGGCCACAUUGGGACUGAGACACGGCCCAGACUCCUACGGGAGGCAGCAGUGGGGAAUAUUGCACAAUGGGGGAAACCCUGAUGCAGCGACGCCGCGUGGAGGAAGAAGGUCUUCGGAUUGUAAACUCCUGUUGUUGAGGAAGAUAAUGACGGUACUCAACAAGGAAGUGACGGCUAACUACGUGCCAGCAGCCGCGGUAAAACGUAGGUCACAAGCGUUGUCCGGAAUUACUGGGUGUAAAGGGAGCGCAGGCGGGAGAACAAGUUGGAAGUGAAAUCCAUGGGCUCAGCCCAUGAACUGCUUUCAAAACUGUUUUUCUUGAGUAGUGCAGAGGUAGGCGGAAUUCCCGGUGUAGCGGUGGAAUGCGUAGAUAUCGGGAGGAACACCAGUGGCGAAGGCGGCCUACUGGGCACCAACUGACGCUGAGGCUCGAAAGUGUGGGUAGCAAAAAAAAUUCGAUNCCCUGGUNGUCCNCNCCGUCCCCGCCCAUAAGGGGUGUUGGAGGAUUGACCCCCUUCAGUGCCGCAGUUAUCACAAUAAGUAAUCCACCUGGGGAGUACGACCGCAAGGUUGAAACUCAAAGGAAUUGACGGGGGCCCGCACAAGCAGUGGAGUAUGUGGUUUAAUUCGACGCAACGCGAAGAACCUUACCAAGUCUUGACAUCCCUUGACGAUGCUGGAAACAGUAUUUCUCUUCGGAGCAAGGAGACAGGUGGUGCAUGGUUGUCGUCAGCUCGUGUCGUGAGAUGUUGGGUUAAGUCCCGCAACGAGCGCAACCCUUAUGGUCAGUUACUACGCAAGAGGACUCUGGCCAGACUGCCGUUGACAAAACGGAGGAAGGUGGGGAUGACGUCAAAUCAUCAUGCCCUUUAUGACUUGGGCUACACACGUACUACAAUGGCGUUAAACAAAGAGAAGCAAGACCGCGAGGUGGAGCAAAACUCAGAAACAACGUCCCAGUUCGGACUGCAGGCUGCAACUCGCCUGCACGAAGUCGGAAUUGCUAGUAAUUGUGGAUCAGCAUGCCACG
rnacentral:rRNA from 1 species